rnacentral:rRNA from 1 species
UACAGAGGGGGCAAGCGUUGUUCGGAAUUACUGGGCGUAAAGGGCGCGUAGGCGGCCUGUUAAGUCGGACGUGAAAUCCCUCGGCUCAACCGGGGAACUGCGUCCGAUACUGGCGGGCUUGAAUUCGGGAGAGGGAUGUGGAAUUCCAGGUGUAGCGGUGAAAUGCGUAGAUAUCUGGAGGAACACCGGUGGCGAAGGCGGCAUCCUGGACCGACAUUGACGCUGAGGCGUGAAAGCCAGGGGAGCAAACGGG